CCGGAAGUCGCAUUCACCUGAGGAAAUCUUAAAAUCUGCGUUUGCGUCACUAAACCUACAUUCUUCUGCAAGGCAUCUGACCUUUGUAAUGUAUGAGGCUUUUAUUCCGGAUUUCCAUGCUGAACGAAGGCCAGGAGAAAUGGCUCGGUGCAGAAAUAAUACUUCAUCAGACUGACCUAGUUUGCAGGACCGCGGGUGCUUGCAAAGGAUAAUUAUCUUCUGUGAAUCGUUUCCAUCAAUGCAUCAGUCAAUCAAUCUUCACCAACACCACACGCCAUCAGCAACUCCAUUUUGUUGUUUCUUCUAAUGGAAGCGGCUCUCCAUGAGAGUUCUGAUGAGUUCGAGUGAUGAACGAGGACACAGUUUGGUGAGAGUCAUGGAGUACAGUAGUCAGUUCCUUCAUCACUUGAAUCUCAAGUCAAAGGAAAGUGGGCCAGUUUUGAGAGAGGUUUGCGGUCACUCGCACCAUUUUUUUAGUGGAAAACUGCAUGCAGUUUGAGCGCGCACACACACAUGAACGGAGGAGUACAGAACAAACACAUCUCCUGGAUCCUGAGCACCAAAAACUACACUCAUCAUUUAUCAGCUAGCUAAAUGCCUGCCCAAACCAUUACCCUCCCCAAAGCAGCCAGCGGGAUGGGAGGGGAGGAGAGGAGCGAGGCGAGGCGCUGCGCUGGGUGAAUUAAACUUUUGAGGGUUCAGCGCUU